UGGGGAAUAUUGCACAAUGGGCGCAAGCCUGAUGCAGCCAUGCCGCGUGUAUGAAGAAGGCCUUCGGGUUGUAAAGUACUUUCAGAGGGGAGGAAGGCGAUGUGGUUAAUAACCGCGUCGAUUGACGUUACCCGCAGAAGAAGCACCGGCUAACUCCGUGCCAGCAGCCGCGGUAAUACGGAGGGUGCAAGCGUUAAUCGGAAUUACUGGGCGUAAAGCGCACGCAGGCGGUCUGUCAAGUCGGAUGUGAAAUCCCCGGGCUCAACCUGGGAACUGCAUCCGAAACUGGCAGGCUUGAGUCUCGUAGAGGGGGGUAGAAUUCCAGGUGUAGCGGUGAAAUGCGUAGAGAUCUGGAGGAAUACCGGUGGCGAAGGCGGCCCCCUGGACGAAGACUGACGCUCAGGUGCGAAAGCGUGGGGAGCAAACA
rnacentral:rRNA from 1 species